GAACGCUGGCGGCGUGCAUAACACAUUCAAGUCGAACGGUGACGAGGGACUUCGGGUCCUCUGAUCAGUGGCGACGGGUGAGUAACGCGUGAGCAACCUGCCUAUCAGAGGGGGAUAACAGUUGGAAACGGCUGCUAAUACCGCAUGACACAUUGAUAUCGCAUGGUAUUAAUGUCAAAGAGAAAUCGCUGAUAGAUGGGCUCGCGUCUGAUUAGAUGGUUGGCGAGGGUAACGGCCCACCAUGGCGACGAUGUCUAGGGGUUCUGAGAGGAAGGUCCCCCACACUGGAACUGAGACACGGUCCAGACUCCUACGGGAGGCAGCAGUGAGGAAUAUUGGUCAAUGGUCUGACGACUGAACCAGCCAUGCCGCGUGAAGGUGACGGCCCUAUGGGUCUUAAACUUCUUUUGUAAGGGAGCAAUAAGUCUCACGUGUGGGAUGAUGAGAGUACCUUACGAAUAAGCAUCGGCUAACUCCGUG
rnacentral:rRNA from 1 species